rnacentral:misc_RNA from 1 species
CUUGCAUUCUGCAAUGUGUGCCAAAUGAUGCACACAGUGUUCCCAAAUUGUCCAACUUGUUUUCUGGACUUUUAUUAGGUACAUAGGAAACACUGAUUAUAUUAGAUAUUUUGAGGAAAUGAAAUAAUAAUGAGUAGCUAAUGGGGUUUUGGUUGCUAAUAUUAACUAUAAUUGAAUAUUUGAAUUUCAAAAUGUACUCUCCUAGUCAAUGAUAUGAGUUGUAGGAUGGCGGUAUCAUUCCAAUGAUCCUUUCUAGGUCCAGGUCACAGGUCAUUAUGAGAUCAUCAAAGCAGGCCACUUGUGUUUUGUUUUGAAUUAUUUGUAUUCAUUCUAGAAUUAUUAGAGGUAUUACUUGCUUAAAUCCCAAAUUCCCAACAGGUUACUUGGAAUUAAUUAAUAAGUCAAAUAACUGCUUCUUGUUUCAUUUAAAAGAUAUAGCUGAGAUCGCUAUAUAUGAGAAGGCAAUCUUAAGAAGCAUAAGAUAUUUCUCUGAGAAUUUAACUAUUGUUGAAAAGUUAUUGUAUGAACCAAGUCUUCCAACAAAAGACAAAAUUGCAAUUGAAGGCCUAUGGAUUUGCACUUGUUAUGCUUGCUGGUGUAUAUUGGAAUAUAUUAAAUGUGGAGUUUUAACUUUUAAGGGAAUUUAAGUGUGUUUUUUAGACUUGUUGAUUGCCAUUUUACAAAGAUGCACCUAAAUCUGAACUGUUGAAUUGUUGUCGUGGAGUCGAAUCAAUUUGAAUGCCGGAACUUGGAAAUGGUUGUGCUUUAUAUUUUCUAUUUAAUUGUUUAAGUCUGGAGAGUUGUUUGGUAUUCACGCAUUUGGAAGUCACCCCCCCCC